GUGGGGAAUAUUCCGCAAUGGACGAAAGUCUGACGGAGCAACGCCGCGUGAGUGAUGAAGGUUUUCGGACUGUAAAGCUCUGUUGUUUGGGACGAAAGUGCCUGAUGCGAACAGUUACGGGUAUUGACGGUACUAAACGAGGAAGCCACGGCUAACUACGUGUCAGCAGCCGCGGUAAUACGUAGGUGGCAAGCGUUGUCCGGAAUUAUUGGGCGUAAAGAGCAUGUAGGCGGGAAUCUAAGUCUGUUGUUAAAAUGCGGGGCUCAACCCCGUAUUGCGAUGGAAACUGGGUUUCUUGAGUGCAGGGGAGGAAAGGGGAAUUCCCAGUGUAGCGGUGAAAUGCGUAGAUAUUGGGAGGAACACCAGUGGCGAAGGCGCCUUUCUGGACUGUGUCUGACGCUGAGAUGCGAAAGCCAGGGUAGCGAACGGGAUUAGAAACCCCUGUAGUCC
rnacentral:rRNA from 1 species